rnacentral:rRNA from 1 species
GAUAAACGCUGGCGGCGUGCCUUAUGCAUGCAAGUCGAACGGUUUUGGUCUUCGGACCAAGAUAGUGGCAAACGGGUGAGUAACACGUAAGUAACCUGCCCCUAAGUAGAGGAUAGCUCUAAGAAAUUAGAAUUAAUACUUUAUAUGGUGAUGUUGGUAAAGCAACAUUACUAAAGUCGUAAGACGCUUGGGGAGGGGCUUGUGUCCGAUUAGCUAGUUGGUAGGGUAAGGGCUUACCAAGGCGAUGAUCGGUAGCUGGUCUGAGAGGACGAUCAGCCACACUGGGACUGAGAUACGGCCCAGACUCCUACGGGAGGCAGCAGCAAGGAAUUUUGUGCAAUGGGCGAAAGCCUGACACAGCAACGCCGCGUGGGGGAAGAAGGCCUUCGGGUUGUAAACCCCUUUUCUCAGGGAAGAAUAAUGACGGUACCUGAGGAAUAAGUCUCGGCUAACUACGUGCCAGCAGCCGCGGUAAUACGUAGGAGGCGAGCGUUAUCCGGAUUUACUGGGCGUAAAGAGGGCGCGGGCGGCUUUUCAAGUCGGUUGUAAAAUCUCCCCGCUUAACGGGGAGGGAUCAUCCGAUACUGUUGAGCUAGAGGGCAGCAGAGGGAGGCGGAAUUCCCGGUGGAGUGGUGAUAUGCGUAGAUAUCGGGAAGAACACCAGUGGCGAAGGCGGCCUCCUAGGCUGUUUCUGACGCUGAGGCCCGAAAGCGUGGGGAGCGAACAGGAUUAGAUACCCUGGUAGUCCACGCCGUAAACGAUGGACACUAGGUAUAGGGAGUAUCGACCCUCUCUGUGCCGUAGCUAACGCGUUAAGUGUCCCGCCUGGGGACUACGGCCGCAAGGCUA